rnacentral:rRNA from 1 species
UGGGGAAUAUUGGACAAUGGGCGAAAGCCUGAUCCAGCAAUGCCGCGUGAGUGAUGAAGGCCUUAGGGUUGUAAAGCUCUUUUUACCAGGGAUGAUAAUGACAGUACCUGGAGAAUAAGCUCCGGCUAACUCCGUGCCAGCAGCCGCGGUAAUACGGAGGGAGCUAGCGUUGUUCGGAAUUACUGGGCGUAAAGCGUACGUAGGCGGUUAUUCAAGUCAGAGGUGAAAGCCCGGGGCUCAACCCCGGAACGGCCUUUGAAACUAGAUAGCUAGAAUCUUGGAGAGGUCAGUGGAAUUCCGAGUGUAGAGGUGAAAUUCGUAGAUAUUCGGAAGAACACCAGUGGCGAAGGCGACUGACUGGACAAGUAUUGACGCUGAGGUACGAAAGCGUGGGGAGCAAACAGGAUUAGAUACCCAUGUAGUCCCUGAGCGGGCUGGCAAGGCGCAU